AAAAGAUGGAAGAAACAGAAACAAACAAAGAAGAAAGCAACCCUCUUGGGGGUCUUUUCAUGGACUAUGCUUCCUCUGAUGAAGACCCUCCUUCUCCUUCUCCUUCUUCUUCUUCUCCCCCUUCUCCUUCUCCUUCUCCUUCUCCUUCAAAACG
rnacentral:ribozyme from 1 species